AAUAUAAUAUACAUUUAUCUGCAGUAACAAUAUAAUAUACAUUUACAAGCACGAGACCUGGGGUGGAAUCUAACUGAGUCGGAAGAUGCUUGGGUCGUAAGGUCGAACCCCUUUGACUGACCCAUUCCCGGACUGGUAUAUCAAAGGACAUGGUACAAGAAAUUGACAAAAUUUACACAAACUGGAUGUUAACGGAGAUGGAUUUGUGGAGCUGACUGAAAUCGUCCAAAUCGCAGGGCUGAAAAUCCCUUACCUGAUUUUAUUGAAAAGGUUCCAUAAUGCAGACACAAACGGCGAUGGCAAACUGAGUCUUAGUGAAUUGAAACAUUUCCACUUCGAGAGCAAAACGGAAUUCCUGGAAGCCAUGGACGAUGACGCCAGACACGUUUCUCCGUCAGCUCAGAAUCGGCAUCGUGCACCAUGCGGUUAAGGGAUGUUAAUAAAAAAUAAAAUAAAAUUAAAAUUGUCUU
rnacentral:lncRNA from 1 species